UGAUCAUGGCUCAGAACGAACGCUGGCGGNAUGCCUAACACAUGCAAGUCGAACGAACCCUUCGGGGUUAGUGGCGCACGGGUGCGUAACGCGUGGGAACCUGCCUUUAGGUUCGGAAUAACAGUUAGAAAUGACUGCUAAUACCGGAUAAUGUCUUCGGACCAAAGAUUUAUUGCCUUUAGAUGGGCCCGCGUUGGAUUAGAUAGUUGGUGGGGUAAUGGCCUACCAAGUCGACGAUCCAUAGCUGGUCUGAGAGGAUGAUCAGCCACACUGGGACUGAGACACGGCCCAGACUCCUACGGGAGGCAGCAGUGGGGAAUAUUGGACAAUGGGCGAAAGCCUGAUCCAGCAAUGCCGCGUGAGUGAUGAAGGCCUUAGGGUUGUAAAGCUCUUUUACCAGGGAUGAUAAUGACAGUACCUGGAGAAUAAGCUCCGGCU
rnacentral:rRNA from 1 species